CAGUCUGUACUCGAGACACAGCUGUACGAGGCCUGUGUCACUGCUCAGCCAGGAACACCCGUGCGACCUUGGGCAAAUCCUCUCCUUCUUUGGCCUUGUGUUCUAUCUGUCCAGUGGGAGUGAGGGAGAGAGCGUUUCUGCGUGGUCUCUUAAGCCUUUCUGGAACUUUCCAGAAAUCCCAGUGAAGAUUUUGAAGAGGUUGGCCCUCUGUUGGAGGCCAGUGGAGAUGGACCUACUUAUACAUCCAGAUGGCCCCCUUCAGUCUGACAGCCAAAGCACAGGUCUCUAGCCGCCAUUCUCGGACCCCUGGACCAGUCCAAGGAAGCUGUAAGACUCCCCAAAAUCAGGAAAUGAAGUAGUCAGGGAUUCAAAGUGCAGCCAGGCACCAUGUAUGUGGCCCUGUUUGGAGUAAGAACAGAGUACAAAUACAUUUUAAUUGACCCCCAUCAAAUGACACUGCCCGUCUGUGCGCUUAAUAAAGAGGAAAGAACUCUGCUCAGGUCUGAUCACAGCCUUCAAGGCCUCAUAAAGCCAGUGAGCUCUGAGGUGAAAGACACUACACACUCACCUGUGGGCUGGGACAAUGUUAUGAGGCUUUCAAAUCUCAUAGAGAAAAAGCCUCUUCUAUCAAAUAUACAUAAAAACAUGAGAACAUCUCCCAAACAAGCUAAGGCAGACAGCUCUGUCUUUAUCUACUUUGAAAUCGCUGUUGCUGAAUUUGUGGUCAAAGAUACAUUUUAACUCACCACCAUUAAGUUAUACAGCCCAUAGGUGCACUUUAUCAAGAGGGGAAAAUCUUUGUUCGGAGUCUAGAAUUCUGAGAGUCUUAUAAGCCUUAAAAUUCUGUGACGAAAGGGACUACCCACUUUAUACUUUAUAAAUCAGACUGAUACGAUUUACAGCUCCGAAAUCAUCUUACUUAGAACCCAAGUAUUUAUCUCUCCCCUUGAGAGGGAAAAAAAAAAAAUCAAACUAGCUCUGAAGCCCAGAGCCAGCAGAGGUGUCAUCUGCCACAAAUGUCAUGGCUGUCCUGGAUUUUGCAUGAAAUAUAUAAAUUAUUACAACAGAAAACUAACAUAAGAUAUCAAGCAUUUAUGCCUAAAACUUAGAAUUCAAUGAGUCAACGACUCCUUAAAAAAAAAAAAAUAUCCUGGUAGGCAUCAUGAUCCCAUUUACAGGCAUGAAUACUGACAUUCAGAGAAGCUAUGUAACUCUUCCAAGGCCACACAGCUAACAAGGGGCCAAGCUGGGAUCUCAUCCCAGGCAGGUUCUCCAGGAGAAUAUACUUAGUACAGUGUCUGGCACAGAGUUCACACUUAGAAUUGUUUCUAUCUGCUUUCUCCCCUAAAAAUGAUUCUUGCCUAGAUUUGGGCAAGGUGGUCUCAGGGAUCCCCUAACCCACAGGGUGGAGUUGACUUCCACUGAAGAAGCUCACAGGCCUCCUGUGGGGUUCCCCCAUCCCCACUGAGCCAAAGGAUUUGUCAACUUUUGUUUUUUCUUUAUAGACAGAGACACAGGUAUGGAAUCAAAUCAUGUCUGAAGCACUGAAAAUCCACAGUACCAAGGGCAGAGGAGAGGUGGCCUGGUUCACUCAGUGGUAGAACUGUCCCCUCCCCUACCUUGGAUUCCACUCGCCCACCCCAGGUUGGAUGAUGUCCACCGGUGCCGGGGAGAGCGACUCGAGUUAGUUUACACAUUCAAUACCACUCCCUCUAGACGUGCCUGGAAACGUUUCACCUGCUAUCUGCAUAUCACAUGAUACAGUCAAGGUGACACAUAAAAUUGGCCACCAUAACCAUUACAGCUAUGACCGUUAUAAAAAAAUGUUCUGGGAUGAAUUUUUCUGUUUGUUUCCCUCCUAAGAAGAUUGGACUCAUUAUGGGUAUUGAAUCACGUCUCAUCCAUGUUGUUUGAGAUAGAAAUUCGGUUUAUUCUCUCAAAGGAUUUAGUGCUCUCGGUUCCCAGGAGUCCUAGUCCUUGAACUACCUUCCAAACCCCAAGGGGAAUGUCACAAAUAAAACCCUUUUCAGUUCUUACUCUUAUC
rnacentral:lncRNA from 1 species